rnacentral:lncRNA from 1 species
GCAGGGCUUCAACAAUAGACAUUUGUUAAUAUUUCUUCUGAAAGUUGGGAAGUCCAAGAUUGAGGUGCUGGCAGAUUCUGUGUCUAGUGAGGGCCACUUUCUGGCUCGUAGACAACCAUCUUCUCCUUGUGUCCUCACAUGGCAAAAGGAAAGAACUCUGACCAUUUCAGAGUUCUGUGUAAAAGCACUAAUCCCAUUCAUGAAGACUCCACUAUCAUGAUGUAAUUACUUUUCAAAGGCCCUGCCUCCUUAUACCAUCACACUGGGGGGUUAGGGUUGCAGCAUAUGAAUUGGAAACUAGGGAACACAUUUUGUCUAUGGUACUAACCCACAUCCAAUUCAUGAGCAAAUCCAUAGGCUCCACCUUCAACAUUUAUUCAGAAGUUAACUUUGAUCACCACCUCCACAGCCACCAUCUUAGUCCAGGACAUCAUCAUCUCUUACUUGGAUUAUUGCAGUAGCUUAACUUGUCCCCCUGACUGUGCCAUUUCUAAGGCAGUCUGUCCUCAACCCAGCAGCUCUUCUGUCAGUUUGCCAGGACUUAGACUUCUAUGAAUCCAUGAAUGUGGGCUGGCUCUGCGAACACUGCUGUGAAGGCUACAUUUUUUUGCGGACCACCUAGGCACAGUUCUGGAGGCGAGCAAGUCCAAGAUCAAAGCACUGGCAGCUUCUUUGAGGGUCUGUUCCAGUAAAAGCAUCUUCUUGCAACAACAUCCUCACAUGACAGAGGGGGGAAGGGCAACAGGACAUGAAUGCUGUGCCCUCACCUGGUGAAGAGAGGAAGAGCAAAAGGGUCUCAGCUAGCUCCCUCCAGCCCUUUUCUAAGGUGCUAAUUCAUUCAUGAGUUAACCACUUCCCAAAAGGCCCUACUUCUCACUACUACCACAAUGGAGAUUAAGUUUCAACACAUGAAUUUGGGGGGACAUUGAAACCACAGCAUCUCUCUUGCCAACUUAAUUAUUUUUCUCCUUCACAUGGGGUAACAUUUCAUAUGCUUUACUUUUUAUCUUGUUUAUUUUUUUCCCUCCUCCACUGAAACUCUGUGUGUGUGUGUGUGUGUGUGUGUGUGUGUGUGUGAUGUGUGUUUUGUUCAUUGCUCUACCUUUAGCACCUAGUACAGUGCUUUGCACAUAGUAGGCACUUAAUAAACAUUUGUUAAAUAAAUGAAUAAAAUGAAUUGAAAUGAAUCAAGAUAAUGCUGGCAAACCUUAAAUUCCCUUAUUUACGAACAGUGUGGACAGUACAGAGGGAAUGGUGUACCCUAGUUUGAAGCUAUGAUAUUCUAAACAGAGGUACUUGACUCAGAAACAGAGCAGCUACGUUUGCCAGGACUUAGACUUCUAUGAAUCUAUGAAUGUGGGCUGGCUCACGAUCACUGCUGUGAAGGCAACAUUUUUUGCAGACCACCUAGGCACAGGUAGGAUAGUCUGCCUGGUCAUCUAUGAUACCUGCAAGCAACAUAGUUGGUAGUUUUAUGUGGCUUAGAUGUUCUGAAUUAUCUGGGGAUCAUGAAUUUCCAGUCAAGCCAGGGGCCAUCACCAGCAUCCUGGAGAACACAAAAGAUGUUUCACCCAAGAGCAUUGGUUCUUUUCACUUGCAACCAUGGGUUGAAUGUGGGCCUUAGUGGCACUCAUUUCACUGUAGAUGCUAAUGAGCAAAUGUGGCCAGGUGGCUGGUCUCUUCCAAGCAAACACACGAGGCAAUCAGUUCAGCUGGCUAUCAGCUUUGGGAGUUCAUAGUAUCUGGCUCCAACACGUCCUAACAAACCCUUCUAUAACUACCCACAGAGGGCAGUGCUUUUCUAGGCUAUGUCAAAAUAUUGCUCUAGUGUGGCUGCUGAGUUCUUAUGCCUGAAUGAACCAUUGAGUAAUCUGUGCUCUCAGCUUAGGACAUGCUUUUAUACAGUCAGCACAGGUGGGCCAGGAAGCCUGUCUGGUUUUCACUAAACUAGACCCUGUUAGUUUUACAGCAUAGUUCACCUUCCACAACAGAGAACGGCAUGACCAAGUAUAGAAUGUAAUUUCUAUGCAAAGGUGGGAAAAUUAACCUCAGGCCUUAUUUAGAAACUAUUUUAUUGUGCUAUGAUAUAAAAUAAUGACUUACUAUGCCAAAAAUUCUAGAAAAAAUGUCAGUACGGAAAGUUGUGUAUUUCUAAUGUUUAUUCAAAACAACUGUUUAUAUAGCAGUCUUGUUAUUUACAGAACCAAGAUGAAAGUCAAAGUGUGGAUUUCUCUAAAAGUUUUACACUUGUUAUAUGAACUUAAUACAUAAUGGGGUAAGCUAGUAAUGGCAUCUAAUGGCAAUUAAUAUG